rnacentral:rRNA from 1 species
GAUGAACGCUGGCGGUACGCUUAACACAUGCAAGUCGAACGGAGUGCUUCGGCACUUAGUGGCGGACGGGUGAGUAACGCGUGAGAAUCUGGCUUCGGGUUCGAGACAACAGUGGGAAACUGCUGCUAAUACCGGAUGUGCCUAAGGGUAAAAGAUUAAUUGCCCGAAGAUGCGCUCGCGUCCGAUUAGCUAGUUGGUGUGGUAAGAGCGCACCAAGGCGUCGAUCGGUAGCUGGUCUGAGAGGACGAUCAGCCACACUGGGACUGAGACACGGCCCAGACUCCUACGGGAGGCAGCAGUGGGGAAUUUUCCGCAAUGGGCGAAAGCCUGACGGAGCAAUACCGCGUGAGGGAGGAAGGCUCUUGGGUUGUAAACCUCUUUUCUCAGGGAAGAAAAAAAUGACGGUACCUGAGGAAUCAGCAUCGGCUAACUCCGUGCCAGCCGCCGCCGUAACAC